AUGUAUCCGAACAGAUACACUGUUGUACUACAGUAUGUAGUUUAUUCAUCCAGGUCUCUAUCUCAUGAAGGAGCUUUGAAUGAAACGGUGGAGGGCCCCACAUUCUGGAGCCUCACCCCUCUUAUGGUCUGAAUGGGGUCCAAGAGGUGGGGAGGAUAGAGGGAACACUGACAGUGGACGAGGACUUCAGUGAAGCUCCCUCGCCCAAGUUGCCUUUAUCAAACUCAACAUUUAACAACACAACAACGUCUGAAGAGAGGGUCUCUGAGGUACCAGGGGCAAUAGUAGAAAGUGUUCUCCUCAGUGGGGAAGACUCCUUGAAGAAAAAGAAGAGUCGAGAACGGAAGGGCAAGGGACAGAAAGGACGACAUAAGAGGCAAAGACAACGCCUGACGAGUACAGAGGAGGAAGAGGAAGCGGAGGAGGAGGAAUUAUACGAUGGGGAUGAGUACAGUUAUGAAUAUGAGGAUUCCACAGAUGAUCCCUUACUGUCAAUGGAAAAGCAAGGGGRGUUUGAAAUCACAACAGAAAGCACACUACAUGGAAUGAGCAAAGAGAGUGGCAUGACAACUUUAGGUCCAUAUCCUCCCCAGUCACCGGGAGACAGUGAAAAGCAGGGGGAAUUAUCACACCACCUUCCCAGCACAACGGAAGAAACAGAGAAGGUAAGCUGUGACUGACUGCAUGAUUCUACCGACGCUUUACUAACUAUGAUCCUGAGGGAUAUGAGGUGUAAAUGGACACAACUAGCCUUCUUUCUCUUUACUAACCAUGAUCCUGAGGGAUAUGAGGUU
rnacentral:lncRNA from 1 species